rnacentral:ncRNA from 1 species
CGUGUGGUGUCCGGCUUUGAAUCGGAUAGCGACACGGCCUUUGAUUGAGGU